CCCGGGGGCGGCCCGGGGGCGCGGCCGCGCUCCGCCCCGGGUGGCGGCCGAAGGGCCGGCGGUGCCGCGGAGCCGCGGAAAAAGACGUGGUGAUGAAAAGAAGUUCAAGAGAGAAAAAGGAAAGCUAAGCGCAAGAGGAGAGAAGAGAGGCAGAUAGAUGGAGAUGAGGAACAUCCCCCAAAGCAGCAGAAGGUACCGGCUGAAGAACAGCAGUGGCCAGAGAAUAUGCCUGAAUGGGAAGAAAGGAAAUCCCUGCUAGCUCAGAGAAGAGUGGAGUCUGUCAGACUGCUUACAGUGCUGUUAAAUCGUGUGAAAUUGGCAAGUCAAAAAGCGGAUCCUUCACUGGGUGUAAAGAAGGACAAUUCAUUUUCUGAAACAGCAUUUAAAGACAUACAGCAGGAGCUGAUUAACUCCCUUUAUCGUACGCACAAAGAGCUGAAACAGACGGACAGUUGCAUGCAGCUGGAGUCGCUCAGAAAGAUACAGAGAAAAUGUAAGAAAAUGUUGCACAAAAAAGUGAAAUUCAAGACACAUCACAUCUCUAUGGCAGCACCAGAUGUUACCCCUCAUGAAGGCUCGCCCCUUCAGGAGACCCACCAGAGGAGAGGAGAUGAGAGGAAAAUAAUGUUGAGAAGACAGAUGGAUACAGAUGUCAGAGGAUGCCCUCUAUUUCCUCUUGAAAUAAUUCAGACAAACCCCUUCUCAGAUACUGUCUGUGGAGGAGAGCCCAGAAGAGGAUGCUGAACAGCUACUGUAUUAUAGCUCUGAAGUUUUUAUAAAGAAGUGGGAGAGGAAAGCCCUUUGGUCAUUAAAAGGUAUAUGAACUACUGGGUUGGUUUUUAAUUUUUCUUUUUUUUUGCUUAUGUAAUUCCUUUGGUUAGAAUAUCUAACUGGUGUAGUGAGGCACAGAAGCAGAAUCUGUGUUUGCCUUUUGGAUAACAGGACCAAAACUUUCCCCAGAGCCAGAAUAAACUUUCAUGGACUAGUGGCUAAAGAACUUGAAAGGGCACAGACCAAGAUCUUGGAGCAUUACACUUUAAAUGCAGAGAAUCAUGAAAAUGACAGUAUUUACUAAUAAUGAGUAAUUGUGAAAAAACCUAAUUGUCAGUGUUAGAGCAAGCAUAUGACAUGCCUCCUCUAUCAGAUUGUUAUAUUGAUGGGACUGGAAGGUGUGGGGGACAUUUAUACUCAUUUUUGAUAAGUAUUAGAUUUCCAAAUGUGAAAAAAGUCCCAUCUUCUGUAAAACUCACACUAGAAGAUUCCUUGGUUUCUAUUCACAAUUCUAGAGGUGUUUCUGAAAACUCGCUGGCUUUUGGGAGGAUUUCACUGAACUUAUGCUCAGUGUAGUGCUUCCAGGAGUCUGAAUGGUUGUCUAAGCAAAGCUCUGAGUGUCAGAUAAUGAAAGGGCAGUGCAUCUCAGCCUGCUGACGGUCCCCAUGUAAAUGCAGGUUGACAGUUCACAAGAUUGUGAAGGCACAUAUAGUGAGGUAGCUGUUUAGUAUGAGUUUGCCUACAAAUGCUUUCCAGAGGAAUUGUGAAAUGUUGUCCGAGUUGUGCUGCAUGUAGAUAAAAAUGGGAAAAUGCAGUCUAGGAGCUUGAAUGAUAUCCAUAUUUAGUCAUCUGGCUGUAUCUAGAAGACAGCCACAAUUGCUUUUGGACGAAGUCCCUUAGCAAGGUACAGAGUUUGAAGUUCAAUACACUGAUUAUUACAGCUUUCAUUUUAUUAUGCUUUAUUUAUUACAUGUCAGUAGACGAAGUUAAUGUGAAAAUGUUGCCGUCAUUAGAUAAGAUCUUACUCAUGUUUGUAACUUUUGCUCUAAUAAAUAGUUAUAAAAAAGAAUAUUUGUAAUUGUUUGUGGUAAUAGGUUUUCCCCCAGUCUUCAAUACUGGUGAUUCCUCUAGGCUUCUAAGCUAGAUUUUAUCAGUCUUUCUGUUCAUAUGUCCAGACGUUGAGUGCCUUUUCAGGGUCAUGAAUGACAAAUGCUUGCUACUCAAAGUACUGUUAAUCUAUUACUUUUAUCUAAAAAAUGUUAUUUUCUUGACAGAAAUAUUUUCUGACUAUUUUGAAGAACAUUUAUGCCCCUCUCAAACUCCCCUUUAGUAUUUUAUACAGUUAUAAUGAAGAGGGACUAUUGUAUUUGGUGACCGUGUAAAAUGUUUUCAGUUGCACUGAUGUGACAUACCAAGGGUGUUUUUUCUCUAUGCAAUAUUUGCAGAUUAAAGUAAAAAAAUUUCCCCCUCUGUCAGUCUAUACAGCUUUGUGUCCAUGAGUACCCAUUUCCCAUGAGACAGGCCUUUUGGUAACAGGUGAGGAAAUAUUUCUUUUUGUUGAUCUGGGGGAGAAGGAACUAAAGCUUUCCUUCAGUGUAAAUUUCCAGUAUUUUAUCAACAUGUUGUCACAAUAAACAGUAACAAAUAAAUACUCCAUUUCUGUAAUUGCUUCAUGCGUUCACCUGUAUUGACUGAAAUUGAUAGAGGAUUUGCUUUAUCUCCCAAGUCCUCAUUCCAUGUAAAACAUCGUUAGUUAAUAAAAUAUGCAUGCACUUUAAAAUAUGAGACAUCAUUGUAAUCUUCAUAUUGAAAGUGAACUUCUGUGUUUCCUAUUUGUCAUUGUUUAGAACCUGACUUCAGGUGUUUAAAUAAUAAUUUUGCUUUUCACAAAAUCAUAGAAUGGUUUGGAUCAGGACCUUAAAAAUCAUCUUGUUCCACCCCCCAUGCCAAGGGCAUGGGCACCUUCCACCUGCUCCAGCAGUGUCCAACCUGGCCUUGAACACUUCCAGGGAUGGGGCAUCCAGUUUCUUGUGGCAGCCUCUGCCACAGCCUCACCACGCUCACAGGGAAGGAUUUCUUUUUCCUGUCAGCACAUUUAAUAGGAGCCCCUCCUUUUCAUAUACUGGACUGCUUAAUACGAUCUUAUUAUCCUGAAGGCUAAUCUUUAAAGAUACAUGUAACUGAUUGCUUUAAAACUUUUAAAAUGCAUGGCUUUGUAGAUUGGAUUUUAGUUGUUAUAGAUAUGUCACAUCCCACAUAUGAAAGUUACCGAAUGUUUUGGGAAUUAAAACAUUUAUUAGAUGAAAAGCUGUAUUUAUAUAGUUAAUCAAUGGAAAUGUAGAA